rnacentral:rRNA from 1 species
AUUGAACGCUGGCGGCAGGCCUAACACAUGCAAGUCGAACGAGUGGCGGACGGGUGAGUAAUGCUUGGGAAACUACCCUAUGGAGGGGGAUAACUACGGGAAACUGUAGCUAAUACCGCGUACCAUCGGAUGUGCCCAGGUGGGAUUCGGUAGUUGGUGAGGUAAAGGCUCACCAAGCCGACGAUCUCUAGCUGGUCUGAGAGGAUGACCAGCCACACUGGAACUGGGACACGGCCCAGACUCCUACGGGAGGCAGAAGUGGGGAAUAUUGCGCGAUGGGGGCAAGCCUGACGCAGCCAUGCCGAGUGUAUGAAGAAGGCCUUCGGGUUGUAAAGUUCUUUCGGUGGCGAGGCGUUAACUACAGAAGAAGCACCGGCUAACUCCGUGCCAGCAGCCGCGGUAAUAC